rnacentral:rRNA from 1 species
UACGUAGGUUGCGAGCGUUAAUCGGAAUUACUGGGCGUAAAGCGUGCGCAGGCGGUUUGGUAAGACAGAUGUGAAAUUCCCGGGCUAAACCUGGGAACUGCAUUUGUGACUGCCAGGCUAGAGUGCGGCAGAGGGGAGUGGAAUUCCGCGUGUAGCAGUGAAAUGCGUAGAUAUGCGGAGGAACACAGAUGGCGAAGGCAACUCCCUGGGCCUGCACUGACGCUCAUGCACGAAAGCGUGGGGAGCAAACAGG